GACGAACGCUGGCGGCGUGCUUAACACAUGCAAGUCGAACGGGCCCGCUCUCUUUUUUGGGGGUGGGUUGAGUGGCGAACGGGUGAGUAUCACGUGAGUAACCUGCUCCCUGCUCCUGGAUAACUGCUUGAAAGGGCGGCUAAUACGGGGUGUGCCGGCUGGUCCGCAUGGGCCUGGUCGGGAUAGUUUCAUCUUCGGGUGUUUCGGUGGGGGAUGGGCUCGCAGCCUAUCAGAUUGUUGGGGGGGCGAUGGCCCACCAAGGCGGUGACAGGUAGCAGGCAUGAGCAGGUGGCCGGCCACAUGGGGACUGCGACCCCGCCCAGACAACGGCGGGAGGCAGCUGUGGGGGGUAUUGCACAAUGGGCGGAAGACUGAUGCAGCGACGUCGCGUGAGUGAGGGAGGACUUCGGGUAGUGAACCUCUUUCUCCGGUGGUGAAGGCCCUGUCCGUUGCGGCGGGGUUGCCGGUAGCCGGGUAUGAAGCGCCGGCUAACUACGUA
rnacentral:rRNA from 1 species